UUGAACGCUGGCGGCAGGCCUAACACAUGCAAGUCGAGCGGAUGAAGGGAGCUUGCUCCUGGAUUCAGCGGCGGACGGGUGAGUAAUGCCUAGGAAUCUGCCUGGUAGUGGGGGAUAACGUCCGGAAACGGGCGCUAAUACCGCAUACGUCCUGAGGGAGAAAGUGGGGGAUCUUCGGACCUCACGCUAUCAGAUGAGCCUAGGUCGGAUUAGCUAGUUGGUGGGGUAAAGGCCUACCAAGGCGACGAUCCGUAACUGGUCUGAGAGGAUGAUCAGUCACACUGGAACUGAGACACGGUCCAGACUCCUACGGGAGGCAGCAGUGGGGAAUAUUGGACAAUGGGCGAAAGCCUGAUCCAGCCAUGCCGCGUGUGUGAAGAAGGUCUUCGGAUUGUAAAGCACUUUAAGUUGGGAGGAAGGGCAGUAAGUUAAUACCUUGCUGUUUUGACGUUACCAACAGAAUAAGCACCGGCCAACUUCGUG
rnacentral:rRNA from 1 species